rnacentral:lncRNA from 12 species
AUGCUGCAGAGCUUUACAAAACUAUCCCUGCAGAUAGAUGCUGAAAGAGACACUCUGGAAGUUUCAUCUCUUGGACCUUGGUUUGCCCAUGAAGAAAGACAGUCCUCCUUCCUUGAGGAAGCCCAAGUAAAUGCUCUUCCAAGGAAACACUGCUACAGAAAAAGGAAGGCGGGACAAGCUCAGCCCACUGCCCCACCAGCUCCCAGGGCAACUUUCCACCCCCCUGAGCACCCACGAGCUCCACCUGGGAGGUGAGCAGAGAACCGGGAGCUGCAGUGAGAAGGGCCUUCGCCUCUGACGAGGUCGGGGACGGAGAAGGAGAAAUGAAACAAUCAAGGGGGCGGGCCGAGGAGCCGGGCCGGGGGGAGCCUCGGGCGGGAGAGCCCCCCAGAUGCUGGGGCUUUAACGAUCCGCCGGAUUCAUCCCGGAGGGAAAGUGC